rnacentral:rRNA from 1 species
UACGUAGGGGCCGAGCGUUGUCCGGAGUUACUGGGCGUAAAGCGCGCGCAGGUGGCUCAUUACGCCCGGCGUGAAAGCCCCCGGCCUAACCGGGGAAGGUCGUCGGGUACGGGUGAGCUUGAGGGUAUCAGGGGCUGGUGGAAUUCCCGGUGUAGUGGUGAAAUGCGUAGAGAUCGGGAGGAACACCCGUGGCGAAGGCGGCCAGCUGGGAUACACCUGACACUGAGGCGCGAAGGCGUGGGGAGCGAACGGG